AGGCGCGUAGCUCAGAUGGUUAGAGCACCACCUUGACAUGGUGGGGGUCGUUGGUUCGAUUCCAAUCGCGCCUA
rnacentral:tRNA from 1 species